GACGAGCGCUGGCGGCGUGCUUAACGCAUGCAAGUCGAACGGAAAGGCCCUGCUUUUGUGGGGUGCUCGAGUGGCGAACGGGUGAGUAACACGUGAGUAACCUGCCCUUGACUUUGGGAUAACUUCAGGAAACUGGGGCUAAUACCGGAUAGGAGCUCCUGCUGCAUGGUGGGGGUUGGAAAGUUUCGGCGGUUGGGGAUGGACUCGCGGCUUAUCAGCUUGUUGGUGGGGUAGUGGCUUACCAAGGCUUUGACGGGUAGCCGGCCUGAGAGGGUGACCGGCCACAUUGGGACUGAGAUACGGCCCAGACUCCUACGGGAGGCAGCAGUGGGGAAUAUUGCACAAUGGGCGGAAGCCUGAUGCAGCAACGCCGCGUGCGGGAUGACGGCCUUCGGGUUGUAAACCGCUUUCGCCUGUGACGAAGCGUGAGUGACGGUAAUGGGUAAAGAAGCACCGGCUAACUACGUG
rnacentral:rRNA from 1 species